rnacentral:rRNA from 1 species
CCUACGGGAGGCUGCUGUGAGGAAUAUUGGUCAAUGGACGCAAGUCUGAACCAGCCAUGCCGCGUGCAGGAUGACGGCUCUAUGAGUUGUAAACUGCUUUUGUACGAGGGUAAACCCCGAUACGUGUAUCGGGUUGAAAGUAUCGUACGAAUAAGGAUCGGCUAACUCCGUGCCAGCAGCCGCGGUAAUACGGAGGAUCCGAGCGUUAUCCGGAUUUAUUGGGUUUAAAGGGUGCGUAGGCGGACUGUUAAGUCAGCGGUAAAAGCCCGGGGCUCAACCCCGGCGAGCCGUUUAAACUGGCUGUCUUGAGAUGUCGAGAGGUAUGCGGAAUGCGCAGUGUAGCGGUGAAAUGCUUAGAUAUUGCGCAGAACUCCGAUUGUGAAGGCAGCAUACCGGCGGCGAUCUGACGCUGAGGCACGAAAGCGUGGGUAUCGAACAGGAUUAGAUACCCGAGUAGUC